GUUGGAAAGUUCCGGCGGUCAAGGAUGGACUCGCGGCCUAUCAGCUUGUUGGUGAGGUAACGGCUCACCAAGGCGACGACGGGUAGCCGGCCUGAGAGGGCGACCGGCCACAUUGGGACUGAGAUACGGCCCAAACUCCUACGGGAGGCAGCAGUGGGGAAUAUUGCACAAUGGGCGAAAGCCUGAUGCAGCAACGCCGCGUGCGGGAAGACGGCCUUCGGGUUGUAAACCGCUUUCAGUAGGGACGAAGCUAACGUGACGGUACCUACAGAAGAAGCACCGGCUAACUACGUGCCAGCAGCCGCGGUGAUACGUAGGGUGCGAGCGUUGUCCGGAAUUAUUGGGCGUAAAGAGCUUGUAGGCGGUUUGUCACGUCGGGAGUGAAAACUCGGGGCUUAACCCCGAGCCUGCUUCCGAUACGGGCUGACUUGAGGAAGGUAGGGGAGAAUGGAAUUCCUGGUGAAGCGGUGGAAUGCGUAGAUAUCAGGAGGAACACCAGUGGCGAAGGCGGUUCUCUGGACCUUUCCUGACGCUGAGAAGCGAAAGCGUGGGGAGCAAACAGGCUUAGAUACCCUGGUAGUCCACGCCGUAAACG
rnacentral:rRNA from 1 species